UUACCUCAUCUAACUUGAUAGAAUGGUGACACAUCUGUGUCCACCAUCACAUGGGUGGACUUUCCAGGUCUUGAUAUACAUCAAGGUUUGAACUUUGUAGUUUCGGGCAUCGGAUUAGCCUUUCAAGGUGUUGAGUAGUCAGACAACUCAUUGGAGCACUAUCUUAGCUCUUGCUCCUCAAACAUAUCAUUGAGUGCACCCCUGUUAGGACAAUAUCUAGUCCAAUGUGGACUGUCAUAUAGAAAACUAUUACCUUAAGGCUUCCUUAUCAACCUUCUUGCCAUUUGGUGGCUUGCCUCCACCCUUGGGUGUUCAGUGUUAGAAUGGCCAUCUUCCUUGCCAUGAGAGAGGGCUUAAACCCCUUUGCUCCUCUACCUUUGGCAUGAUCACCCUUUGGACCCUUAGAAGACUUUGGCCUUUUAAACUUCACCUUGGUUGAGGGCAGUUAAGAUACGCUUCAUACAACGCCUUUGCAAUUCAGUGGCAGCCCGUGGUUUGAGAUCAUCCAUGAAGUUGAACAGCUGGUCCCCCUUCCCUAUGUUAGGGAUUUGAAGCAUAUGGGAGGAGAAUUCCUUCCUAUAGUUCCUAAUCGAACUUGUUUUUUUGCAACUCCUUCAUUCUCUUUCGUGCCUCAUGGGUGAUAUUCUUAGGAUAGAACCGCUUCUUAAUUUCCCAUUUUAGCUCAUCCUAAGUGUCAAAUUGAGCAAAUACCCUUCUCCAUCUCUGCAUUUUUCCUCUGCCACAGUAUAGUAGCAAUCAGGAAAAGGGUAGCAAUCCUCAUCUUGCACUUUUCAUCGUUAUAGUUGAGUGCCUCAAAGCUCCUCUCAAUAUGCUGCAGCAUCCCUCUUGCCAUCAUACUCCUUAGGCUCAGGAGCUUCAACCCCUGGAUUGAUACCCAUGGUAGGUGCAACAAUAACCCACUAACCACAGUACUCUUGCAUGUGGCCCAAUUGGCUUUGGUCUCUAUGCUCUUCUUCAGCUCAUCAAAUGGAGCUUGAAGGUUGAUCAAGGCUUCUAGUAAUUAGGCUUGGAAUGUGAGAUGUUCUUGAUGUUGAGCUUCCCCCACGUGGUUGAUGACACUAAGCAUGUCCUAGCGGAGUUCCUCGACUUGCCUACCGAAGUUUUCAUCAAGCUCCAUGCCUUGCUUGAACUCAUUAAACCGAUCCCUCAUAUUGGCCAUGACCAGCUCUACCUUCGCGAUCUUUGCCUAUGUAUUUCUCACCUUGUUGUAAGACUUGUCUUGACUUCCCUUUCCCCUUUUUAGACCAUGUUGGUGUUUUCUUCCACCACAUCAUGUUGCACCUUGACAACUUUUGAAGCCAUCAUGCUCCACCUUUUCCCACAACAAGCUAAGUAGGCUUGCCUUUCUCUUGUAUGACUUGUCAUGGGCUUGCUUUUCCUCAAAUACACCAUACGACACAUGGAAGCUUUGCUAGUCUACACCAUGGUAUGCUGUACCAUCCCGAACCGGAUGGUACCGGGCGUACUAGUGUGGCACCGGUACGAGGUCCGAUACCGAGACGGCGAAUCUUGGUCUACACUUGCCUCUUA
rnacentral:lncRNA from 1 species